rnacentral:rRNA from 1 species
GACGAACGCUGGCGGCGUGCUUAACACAUGCAAGUCGAGCGGUAAGGCCCUUCGGGGUACACGAGCGGCGAACGGGUGAGUAACACGUGGGUGACCUGCCCCCAACUCUGGGAUAAGCCCGGGAAACUGGGUCUAAUACCGGAUAUGACCCUGAUCUGCAUGGUUCAGGGUGGAAAGUUUUUCGGUUGGGGAUGGGCCCGCGGCCUAUCAGCUUGUUGGUGGGGUGAUGGCCUACCAAGGCGACGACGGGUAGCCGGCCUGAGAGGGCGACCGGCCAGACUGGGGCUGGGACACGGCCCAGACUGCUACGGGAGGCAGCAGUGGGGAAUAGUGCGCAAUGGGCGGAAGCCUGACGCAGCGACGCCGCGUGGGGGAUGACGGCCUUCGGGUUGUAAACCUCUUUCGACCGGGACGAAGAGUGAUUGACGGUACCGGUAUAAGAAGCACCGGCCAACUACGUGCCAGCCGCCGCAGUAACAC